rnacentral:rRNA from 1 species
CUACGUGCCAGCAGCCGCGGUAAUACGUAGGUCCCGAGCGUUGUCCGGAUUUAUUGGGCGUAAAGCGAGCGCAGGCGGUUAGAUAAGUCUGAAGUUAAAGGCUGUGGCUUAACCAUAGUACGCUUUGGAAACUGUUUAACUUGAGUGCAAGAGGGGAGAGUGGAAUUCCAUGUGUAGCGGUGAAAUGCGUAGAUAUAUGGAGGAACACCGGUGGCGAAAGCGGCUCUCUGGCUUGUAACUGACGCUGAGGCUCGAAAGCGUGGGUAGCAAACAGGAUUAGAUACCCUGGUAGUCCACGCCCUAAACGAUGUCAAUUAGCUGUUGGGCAACUUGAUUGCUUAGUAGCGUAGCUAACGCGUGAAAUUGACCGCCUGGGGAGUACGGUCGCAAGAUUAAAACUCAAAGGAAUUGACGGGGACCCGCACAAGCGGUGGAUGAUGUGGAUUAAUUCGAUGCAACGCGAAGAACCUUACCUGGUCUUGACAU